ACUGAUGCUGGGAGGCGGCUCUCUAGAAUCGCUAACCAGCAGCGGCCGCGCUUGCACGCGCGGCCGUUCACAGAUCACGUUCGAGCGGUCCCUAGAGGAUUAAGAUAUGACCGGUCUCGCCCCGGAAAGGGCGGGAGUAAACGUUCCGUAGGUGCGGAGUUCGCCUACCGCAUGCCUAAUGCGCGGUCUGCACCCUUGGGUGCAGGCAACACCGUUCAAAUGCUGGGCGUGCCGGGCGCAAGCCCGUCACCAUCAGCAGCCGGCGCUUCGGCGUCCGGCCCACAGAUCAUCCGACGGUGACCUAUCGAGGUUAAGAUAUGAUCGGUCCCGGCCCGCCCUGGGCCUCGGAGGCACGGAACCUGCGGAAGGAUCAUUACCGAGAGACGGGACCUAACCGGUCCCAACUCUUCAUCCCUGUCUACAUUAAAUAUGUUGCUUUGGCGGGCCAACCGGGCUCUGCUCGGGGAAGGCUGACCCCUUCUCGUGCCCGCCGAAGGCCCCAAUAAACCCUGUGAUUAGUGUCGUCCGAGUAAAAACA
rnacentral:misc_RNA from 1 species